GCCGGGGUUGGUACCCGCGACCUCGAUUGCAAAUCGCACGCUAUUACUGCUAGGCCACCAGCGCUUAAUGGCAUCAAUGUCAUAUUUUAUUAUCAGUGAAAAGUUGUCAUAAAACAGUUUAAGGCACAGUACGUAUAAGUUAUUAUAUGGUUUACUAUAGGUGCUAGUGCUGCACUCUGGCGGCAGAACAUUGCUGUAAUACCCUCUAUUUAAAAAAUAAUAUGAAUUUCAUUUAACUGAAUAAGUACUAGAGCUAUGUAUUAUACAUAUAGGACCGUCACAGGACAGAGUAGUUUGACGGUUCAUGACAUGUAAUGCACGGACAGUAAGUGUUAAAAUAGGUGACUGAAAAAAUCGGAGGGUAUAAACUCGUAUCCAGCCAGAUUUAGAAAGAGUGAAUUGACAGUGUAUUUCAUGAGACUAUGACAGUGUAUUUCAUGAGAUUAUGGCAUUAUAUUGAUUUGUAUGACUAAAAAUGGUUUUUGUUUACGUGACUUGUCAACCUUAUUUUUAAAUAAUAAUAAAAAUACUGUCAGUACAGUCUUCCUAAUUCUAAAUAUCAGUAUAGCUAAAUAGGGUAAAUCAUCAAUUACUAGCCAACUUAUACUAAAAAUAAAUUAUAUUCACCUAUAAACAGAAUUUAUUUUAGUAUACGGUGGCUAGUUAUUGGAGGGUGGCCAGUUAUUGACACCUUAUACUAAAAAUGAAUUCUGUUUUUAGAUGAAUAGAAUUCAUUUUUAGUAUAAGGUGGUCAGUUAUUAAACAGUGUCCAGUAAUUGACGAUUUACCCUAUAAUGCUCUGAAGGUUCUUCGAUUUAUAUAAAUAUCUACAUUUAGGUUAUAUUGUUAUAAUAGGUGUCAGAAUUUUCCUCCUGCCUGCGACAAAAGACUGUUAAAAUGGAUGUAUAAUUUAAAUUUUGAUACGUUUUUGAUUGCAUCGUGUAGCCGGUUGUGAAUAUUAGCCAUAUCGUACUCAGCUCCUACUUGUACUCGCAAUGUUAAACAUUGUAAUGUGAAUAAUCAUUUAUAUGUUAAUUAUUAUAUUAUGUUAUGAAGUGA